rnacentral:rRNA from 1 species
GACGAACGCUGGCGGCGUGCUUAACACAUGCAAGUCGUACGGUAAGGCCCUUUCGGGGGUACACGAGUGGCGAACGGGUGAGUAACACGUGAGUAACCUGCCCACAACUUUGGGAUAACGCUAGGAAACUGGUGCUAAUACUGGAUAUGUGCUCCUGCUGCAUGGUGGGGGUUGGAAAGCUCCGGCGGUUGUGGAUGGACUCGCGGCCUAUCAGCUUGUUGGUGGGGUAGUGGCCUACCAAGGCGGCGACGGGUAGCCGGCCUGAGAGGGUGACCGGCCACAUUGGGACUGAGAUACGGCCCAGACUCCUACGGGAGGCAGCAGUGGGGAAUAUUGCACAAUGGGCGCAGGCCUGAUGCAGCAACGCCGCGUGCGGGAUGACGGCCUUCGGGUUGUAAACCGCUUUCAGCAGGGACGAAGCUUUUUGUGACGGUACCUGCAGAAGAAGCACCGGCUAACUACGUG